GUACCCGGUUCGUUGGAGAUCGCAGGAGCUAUGCCCGAUCCAGUGUGACGGCGGUAGCGAGUACAGCCCAUGUGGCGAGGAGAACACGUGCAUUAACAAGGAGGCAGCCGUGGGAGAGGCGCUCGAGGAUUGCGUGGAGGGAUGCUACUGUCCACCGGCAACUUACAAUUUAGAUGGAGAAUGCGUUUCACUCAGCGAUUGUCCGUGCUACAAGGAUGGUAAAGCCAUGUUGCCCGGAACAAAACACCG